rnacentral:rRNA from 1 species
GAGAGGGAGCCUGAGAAACGGCUACCACAUCCAAGGAAGGCAGCAGGCGCGCAAAUUACCCACUCCCGGCACGGGGAGGUAGUGACGAAAAAUAACGAUACGGGACUCAUCCGAGGCCCCGUAAUCGGAAUGAGUACACUCUAAACCCUUUAACGAGGAUCAAUUGGAGGGCAAGUCUGGUGCCAGCAGCCGCGGUAAUUCCAGCUCCAAUAGCGUAUAUUAAAGUUGUUGCGGUUAAAAAGCUCGUAGUCGAAUUUGUGUCCCGCGCCGCCGGUUCAUCGUUCGCGGUGUUAACUGGCGUUUCGCGGGACGUCCUGCCGGUGGGCUUAGCUCGAGAGGGCGGCCCAACUCAAUCCCGCCGCGGUGCUCUUCAUUGAGUGUCGAGGUGGGCCGGCACGUUUACUUUGAACAAAUUAGAGUGCUUAAAGCAGGCUAAAACUUCGCCUGAAUACUGUGUGCAUGGAAUAAUGGAAUAGGACCUCGGUUCUAUUUUGUUGGUUUUCGGAACCCCGAGGUAAUGAUUAAUAGGAACGGAUGGGGGCAUUCGUAUUGCGACGUUAGAGGUGAAAUUCUUGGAUCGUCGCAAGACGGACAGAAGCGAAAGCAUUUGCCAAAAACGCUUUCAUUGAUCAAGAACGAAAGUUAGAGGUUCGAAGGCGAUCAGAUACCGCCCUAGUUCUAACCAUAAACGAUGCCAGCUAGCGAUCCGCCGACGUUCCUCCGAUGACUCGGCGGGCAGCUUCCGGGAAACCAAAGCUUUUGGGUUCCGGGGGAAGUAUGGUUGCAAAGCUGAAACUUAAAGGAAUUGACGGAAGGGCACCACCAGGAGUGGAGCCUGCGGCUUAAUUUGACUCAACACGGGAAACCUCACCAGGCCCGGACACCGGAAGGAUUGACAGAUUGAGAGCUCUUUCUUGAUUCGGUGGGUGGUGGUGCAUGGCCGCUCUUAGUUGGUGGAGCGAUUUGUCUGGUUAAUUCCGAUAACGAACGAGACUCUAGCCUGCUAAAUAGGCGUAUUUCGACAUCCCAAAUACCCGCUGGAGCCGGGUUCGCCCGGUCUCUAUGUGCGGUUUUUACUGUCGGCGUACAAACAAUUCUUCUUAGAGGGACAGGCGGCUUCUAGCCGCACGAGAUUGAGCAAUAACAGGUCUGUGAUGCC